ensembl:lncRNA
CCUAUCUCCAAUUCCACACGUCUGCCACCGCGGAUGUGACAGUACUGUGAUAUUAUUCUGUUAUUGUAAUGGGGAAGUCUUUAGGACCCAGGGGACCCAAUGGAGGGUAUAAAAGAGGAAGUAGCAGCAGGUGCUCUUCAUUUCCACUGACGAGCGGCUGUGAACAAUGGUUGUGUGAGUAGGUGAAGAGCCUGAGAAGUUUUAAUUGUCUGCUACACAAAAAGUUGUUUUAAACCUCUACAGCAGAGGUUCGAGGUACAGGCUGUUUUUCUUUUAGUGUUUUUUUUAUUUUUUUUAUUUGUUGAAAUGUAUUUGAUGUUUAUUGUAUUUUAUGUUUUAGUAGUGAUUUUUACAAGAUAAGCCAAGAUAAGCCAGGUGUGCAGCAAACACAGUUGUCUGCUGGAGACAGCUUGUCUGUUUUGUUUCUUUUUCCACAGACAAGAUAAACUGCCUGAUCUGCCUUGCAGCACAGCUAUGUCGGCGUG